ACUGUAAUGAAUGGAUUAACAGUGCAUUUGUUUGUUCUUACAUAAGCUUUAAACCCACAGUGGCAUCCUGGCUUUACUUCUAUGGGCAAGGAGCGCAUUGUUAACUCACUGCUUUGUUUGUGGGGUUGCAAGUUUUGUUUAAAAAAUUAUUGCGAUUAGAUUUGUCACAUUUUAGCUCAGUGUCACGCCGUAAUAGAUUUAAAACAUGAUGGUGCAUUACAUAAAUCUGACCGCAACACAAAGAAUAGCAUCAAUUUGUAGAACAACACAGUUAAGAAUCUGAGUCAAAUUUGACAUUGAUUGUUCAUUGAGCCCCUUUUCACUGUAAGGCUCUUUAUCUAUUAUCUUAUCUUGCUCUGACUGAAGUGAUAAGAUCUGGAUGAGCUCAGCUCCAAUGGGCUUCUUCCCAUUUUAGCUGCAGAUUGUCCCAUCGGUGUUUGCCAUUCGUGAACAAAAGUAAAAUCAAAUGCAGAAAUGUUCUUGGUUGGUGUCCACAUGCAGCGCUGUUUCUCACCAAGUAGCAGAGCGUGGAAAGUUUUCAUUGGAUGAGCUACAGCCACAGAGCAAACAUCACAUAAAUAUAGUCAACUCAGAGUGCAUAUAUUUGUGAAACCAGUCAGAAAGUCAGAGUUUACCCAGCUCCAGUGGAUCCUGUCAACAUUAUUACACUCAACAAGGACUGCAAACUAAAGAAUAUGAGGCUCCAAGUUGUUUUCUUGCUCUUUGCUUUCGUGGCUGUGAUCAGUGCAGCACCAGCUCAAAACAACACUACACAAGAGCCAGAUGCGGUUGAAGCUGAAACACCAAAGGAUGACGUGGAAGAGCCCACAAUGGAUGCUUGGCAAGAUGAGGCGCUCAUGAACAAAGAGCUGGGAGAUGAUGUGCUUAUGUUGAUGCUGUUGGAUCUCGGUGGAGCAGAUGAGGGGCUUGGGGCAGCCUUGGUUUGAUUCCAGCUCAUGGCAGUUUGCUGUGUGUCGUCUGUUUUUAUUAUGAAAUUGUUAAUCAGAAGAAUUUUGUUUGUCUGCUGUAAGUAACUGCAAUAAGUCAAGAAACAAUUCUUUUAAUCGAGAGAUAUAUUUGUGAGAGAGUGAUUUGAAUGUUCCUCAGUCAGUGAUCACCACAUCUCGGUUUAUUUUUAAUAUAUAACGUGACCAUGUAUCAUCAAAAACACGUCUGUCAAAUAUUCUGUGGUCACAAUACGCACUUCUCUUAUCUGUUUAUCUUCUUAAAUGUUAAGAAAAACAGGGUUAGCGUCCAAAGCGAUGAUUUAUAACUGAACAUCUCACAGAAAACUCUGACCUUCCAGAGAACACAAUGUACAGACCACAGGGUGAGGAACCUGUCAGCCUCUUUUGCUCCACAGUGUCUGAGAAAUGCGUCAUAUCCAUAAAUUCAUGUGCACAUUUAUCUGCUCUGUCUCUGCAGUGAGACAGCACUACAAGCAUCCUCACGAUCGCCCAGAGUAUGACAGCAGAGAGCAUUAUAGCAACAAUUGUGUUACAGAAAAGGGCAGUAAAAACUUCUGACCAUAUGAAAUAAAAUGAUUUUCUCAGUUUCAA